UCGGGCCAACACGGACGCCCGGUCAGACGGGGUCCGUCCAAGUCCGU
rfam:Sphingobium japonicum BiD32, WGS project CAVK01000000 data, contig: 118